UUUCUUAUUCCCAUUCUCCCUUGAAAAUCCUCUAGUAGAUGCCCUCCUAACACCAUUAAAAUCCUCAUCCCCCAUCAACGCUGUGAAUCUUUAUCCUAACGGUUGUUGCCUUUGAUUGUCCUUAAUCUUUGCUGAAAAAUCCCUUCUCCCUCGCUUUGAAUGUCUAUUUUUCACCAGCAUCCAUGGCCCAAAUUCGGGUUCUUUCUCCUUGCUUCUGGAAUUGAUGGAGUCGCCGUUUGAUUUGCUUUCAUUUGACACAUCAACCACGGUUGACUGCUUACCACUAGCCAUCGUAGGAUUUGGAUCUGUUUCAACCAUUGGACACAUAUCUUUGACAUGGCCAUACUUGCCACAGUUGAAGCAAAUGGUCGGAAGGGCUUCGUAUUCAACGUGUUGGAUGGCUCUGUCAACUAAUACCUGUGAAAUCAAAGGCUUUUCUAGGUUGAUAUAAACAGCCAAGCGAGCGAAUCUCCCUCUAGUCUGAUUUUCGGUCUGUACAUCGAGCUUGACCACCUUUUCGAUGAGGCUUCCAAUGGCUUCUAUUAUUUUGCGUUGUACAGGUGACCCGAAAGAUUCAGCAAAUGGAUCUAGGCCAGCACCACACUAGGGUAAGAUUGUAAAGGACUAAAAUGCUUAGUCCACGGUUGAACCGUUAAAUACUGUCCGUAGACAAUCUAGGGACCAUACGACAAAACUCGGUUGUAAUCCUCAGCAGCCUAAAAUUUAACAAAAAAUAUCUGUUAGUAGUGUCCAUUAUACGAAAAGAGUUUAUUGGUUUCCAAAGGGACAGAAUGCGAUUAUGCAAGGCAUUGUAGCCAUUGUUAAGCCCUAAUAGUUUAACGAUAACUGUAAAUUCCAUUUCUCUUAAUAGAAGAUUCUUUAAACAAUCUGAGAAAGUGAUCGCGGGAACACCAUCAAUUGUGGUCGUGUU
rnacentral:lncRNA from 1 species